GAUAUAUGAAUAGUUUUCUACAAUUCAGCCAUAUUUUAAAUUCCUGCAAUAAUCCUAUUUGGCGACUGAGUAAUAUACUGAUGAUCUUAAAUUUAUUUUGCAUUUUAAGUUUUGUAUUUUGCAACCAUACUCAUAGGAUAGCUUCUUUCACUUUGUGCAGUUUCUUCAUAAAAUGCAAUAGAGAUGCACUAAUUUUGUAAAAUAAACUCAAACUUCAUAGAUUUUCUGUGCUCUGUAAAGCUAUAAAGAAUGUAUUCUUUGGAAAAACCAAAUAAUCUUGCCUCCAUAACUAAUCCCAAAACCUUCUAGAAGAUAGCCCUCUGAUAACUUUCUUUCAAUUUGUUCUACAAUCCAUUGAUUCAACAGCUCUAAUUCUUGAUUCAAAAUUUUAAUUUAGAUAUUUUCUAGAUGAUCCUUUCAUCUGGAAUUUUUAACCUAUUACCAUCAAUCAUUAUCUAUUAUUCUUGUAACUUAAAAACUUUUGGAAUCCAUUAUAAUACUUUUGUUCUCUUUUUCAUUAAAUUUGCAAGAGAGUUGUAUGGCUUUUUGAAAUCAGUCAUAUCUGUCAGGGUUAAAUGUUAAAUAAAAACCUGAAAAGGUUUAAGGAAUCUGUUAGUGAUCUUUGAGAAAGAUGUUUGAACUUUUGACAUUUGCGUUAGCUACUCUGACCUUAUUUACCUAUUUCCUUGCUUUCAGUUCAGUUUUCCAAGGUACAGUAUAACUUUAGCAUUUAAAUAUUAAUAAAGUACUUAAGUAUUUUAAAAGAUUCUUAAAGUACUUAAAUUGAAAAAAUAGACUAAGUUUAAAAUUUUGUGUUAAGCAUAGUGCACAAAAGUUCACAGUAUUGUAAAGUACACUGUUUUCUAUAUCAAUACAUUUGAAAAAGACUAAGUGAAAUUGUUGCAACCAGACAGAGCCAGUUUGUUGCUCUACUCAGUCUUAAAGUGUAAGAACAAUGUUUCUUUUUAUAGCUAAACAAUGCAGUACCUUCUACAACAUUCCCUAAAUAAUCUCAAUGUAUAUUUGUCAACAGCAUUAGACCACCCUUAAAUUCUUUAAUCAUCACCCUAUAUUAUCCUCAAAAAAUACCAAUACAUUAAGUAGCUCAAACAUUCUUAUUCUUGUCUAAAACAGCGUUAACUUAGAGCAAAAUCCUAUCAUUUCAAUCGGAUAUAAACUCUACACUAAGAAAUUUUAAGAAUUAGCCUUCAGCAAGAAUCUUAUAGUCACAUCUUUUAAGAUUUUUUAUUUAUUCAUGAGAGAGAGAGAGAGAGAGAGAGAGAAAGAGGCAGAGACACAGGUAGAGGGAGAAGCAGGCUCCAUGCAGGGAGCUCAAUGGAGGACUGGAUCCCAGGACUCCAGAAUGACACCCUGGGCUGAACGCCAGCGCUAAACCGCUGAGCCAUCCAGGGAUCCCCUAUAGCCACAUUUCUAUAGAAACCAUGAUAUUGAAAGAUAUAUGCUGUUUAUAUGUUUUAGUAUUCUGGUAGGUAUGCUCAACAAUAUUCAUAUAAGCCAUUUUGAUAUAAAUAGCACACUGCAAAGGAAAUAUUUGUUAUUAGAUAACAAAACUGAUGAUGAAUUAUUUCUUCAUUAUAUAAUAAAACUUUCCUAGACAGCAAAAUCCUUGUUUCUGGAAGAGGUCAUGUUGGGGUCCCUAUUUUUCGUCUGCAAAAUCAGAAGAUUAAUAUAAACAUCAUAACAUGGUCCUAAAUUCUGCAGUAUUAGUUGCCUAAGCUAAAUGUAAAAUAGACCAAAUUACAAAAUUGAUCUUUCAAAAACCAAUAGACAAGUUUCAGAGUAUUAAGAAACCUAAAGACAACAACGAGAAGACAUUUAUCCUCUAAGUAACUGACUUUGGAAAAAAAAAAUUACUAUGAUAAAAAACAAAUAGUGACAAAACUAACUUGCAACUCUUUUGUUCAGAGAUCAGUCCCUUAACUUUAGAAAGGUAUUAAUGUACUUAUAACAGGAUAGAGCAUACUCUUCAAUUGUUUUUUAUUAGAACUUCAACAUUAUAAACAAAUACCAUGUUGUAAAUACCUAAAUAAACUAUCCAAUUACACACUAUCAUCCUCAUUUUCAUUAAACACAUGACAAAUUUAUUACUUUUGAAAAGCUCAGUUACCAUCUUCUAGUACAGAGUUGGUAAUGGUAAACAAUCUCUCAAACAUAAGUAUCUUUACACACUCCAGCUCAAAAUUUUGUGCAAUACGUGUAUUUGCAUGACAUUCAUAUACCUAGAAUUUUUAUAAAGUCACAUCAUUCUAGUAAUACUGACAUUCACCAGUGAACAAUUCUAACAAAGAGUAGUCUUUAAAAUGUCAAAUGUUCAGAAAUUUGUACUUAUCUCAGAAAAAAAUAUCAAACUCAUAUUAUAUACAUUUCAAAGAGAAAAAUAGCAUAUAUGAAAUGGUAGCUAAAGGGAACUUUAUUGGGGCACCUGGGUGGUUGAGUGUCUGCCUUCGGCUGAAGGCAUAAUCCAGGGGUAAGGGAUCAAUCCCACAUCGGG
rnacentral:lncRNA from 1 species